UACGUAGGGUGCAGGCGUUAAUCGGAAUUACUAGGCGUAAAGCGUGCGUAGACGGUUAUGUAAGUCAGAUGUGAAAGCCCCGGGCUCAACCUGGGAAUUGCAUUUGAGACUGCAUAGCUAGGGUGCGGAAGAGGGAAGCGGAAUUUCCGGUGUAGCGGUGAAAUGCGUAGAUAUCGGAAGGAACACCAGUGGCGAAAGCGGCUUCCUGGUCCAGCACCGACGUUCAGGCACGAAAGCGUGGGGAGCAAACAGGG
rnacentral:rRNA from 1 species